rnacentral:rRNA from 1 species
UACGAAGGGAGCUAGCGUUGCUCGGAAUCACUGGGCGUAAAGCGCACGUAGGCGGCUUUUUAAGUCAGGGGUGAAAUCCUGGAGCUCAACUCCAGAACUGCCUUUGAUACUGGGAAGCUUGAGUCCGGAAGAGGUGAGUGGAACUCCGAGUGUAGAGGUGAAAUUCGUAGAUAUUCGGAAGAACACCAGUGGCGAAGGCGGCUCACUGGUCCGGUACUGACGCUGAGGUGCGAAAGCGUGGGGAGCAAACAGG